GGGUCUGUCAAUUGGUCGGGCUUCACGGUCCGUACUGGUUCGAUGGGUUCCUACCUUCUGAAUAACCAGCAUGCCAUUCAUUUGGUGCGCCGGGGAAGCAGAGCUAUUACCUUGAAAAAAUUAGAGUGCUUAAAGCAGGCUAGUGCUUGAAUAGAUUAGCAUGGAAUAAUAAAAUAGGAC
rnacentral:rRNA from 1 species